rnacentral:lncRNA from 1 species
ACGCCAACUCUCGCUGAGCAAGUAUCCUAAGAUGGGGGACCGUCAACCUGUCUACCUGUACCUGCGAGCAUAAAACGUAGGUCCCCAGGUAAUAGGGGCAUCAGUAAGAAUAAUAUACCGAGUAUGUAAGGCAUAAAAAUUAGUAUAUAAUAGACAUGAAAGAAACAUGGAGUAAAGGACUCAUCCUGUAAGUCUGCAUAGAUCUGUGAAUCAUGAAACAUUUAUAAGUCAUGCAUAUGCGUAUAAAUGUCAUAUCAUGCAUAGGUAUAUGCGUACAUAACAUCAUCAAUCCUCUGAGGGCAUCCCAUCAUAUCAUCUCAGCCUCUGUGGGCGAAAUCAUAAAUGUAUACCAGUUGAUCAGGUGGUGGUGCAUAUAUAACGCCAUAACCUUUCCCCAUACCCUAUAUAUAUAUACUAUACGCGUAUAUAACGUGAUCUGGUCAUGGGUCAGUAUACAUAUAUAAAUGAAUGCAAUGUAUAAUGAAGUAGGUCAAUAAGAUCUCUCUGAAUGUCAUGAGACCCAUGAAAAGACGAUAUGAUAGUAGUACAUAUGGGGAAUCAAGAACAUAGGCAACCCUAGUACUUCUAGGAAUAGAAUUAUUUGUGAAAGUUGCGUACUUGCUCAUUUCUUGCAUCAUAUGGAUCAUGCCAAAAAGGAAAGACGGGAUAGCCUUAACAUACCUUAUCACAAUAUUUCCAAUCAACAAGUUGAACUCGCCUCUUCGUACCUUAAUCUACAAUAACAAUAAUAAUACUAUCAUUAAGUUACGAAAGGUAAAACUAUCGCACAACGAACGACAAGCUUAUUUUGUAUUAAAACGGGCAGCAUCUCCCCUAUAAUUCUUACUUCCUUCAAAUUCAAUAUAACACCAAACACAACAAUAUCAACAUGUAUACAUUAUUUUCCAACCUUAUAUACACCACAAAAUAUUACAAAAUAUCCCAACACACCCCAAUCGCUUCAUACACAAAAUAACUACCGUAGUAGUGUCAAGCGGCCCGAAAAUGUUACGACGAACAACCAUCAUAUCACCCUGCAUUUAUAUGGUGUUUCUACACAACAUUAAUCCUCCAAAAUUCCACAAAACAUCAGUAAAAUAUGCAGCCCAACAGCAACACAAAACAAUCAACAAAAUAGUCCGCUACAAGUGAAUAACUCGAACUCACGGCUUCCGAUCACCGUCCCGUGAGUUCUAACUAUUAGGAAACGAAUUUAUCAACCUUCCUUGAUAUUUAAACACUUAAAUACAGAAAUUACACGUUUUCCUAACUAUGAAGUACCUUCCAAAAGUCAAACUACAAAGAAAAAGAGAGGCGAUAUAGCGAUACUUACGUCGUAGGGAUCAUUUUAAUGUUAUCGUAUCUUGAUUCUGUGCCCGAGAUGAUAAUCUUGUUUGAAGCUCUUGCAGAGAGAUUAAGAGU